AACGAACGCUGGCGGCAUGCCUAACACAUGCAAGUCGAACGAGAACAUCGGGCAGCGUGGCGCACGGGUGCGUAAUGCGGGGGAACCGGCCCUUAGGUGCGGAAUAACCUGCUGAAAGGGGUGCUAAAAUGGGAAAAUUUGUUCGGACCAAAGAUUUAUUUCCUUUGGAUGGGCCGGAGUUUGAUUAGUCUGUUCGUAGGGUAAAAGCAUAUCAAGGCGACGAGACAUAGCUGGUCUGUGAGGAUGAGCCGCCACACUGGGGCUGGGACACGGGCGGGACUCCUACGGGAGGCAGCAGAGGGGAAUAUUGGAAAACGGGGGAAAGCAUGAUGCAGCUAGGCCGCGUGAGUGAUGAAGGCCUUAGGGUAGUAAAGCUCUUUUACCCGGGAUGAUAAUGACAGUACCGGGAGAAUAAGCUCCGGCUAACUCCGUG
rnacentral:rRNA from 1 species